rnacentral:rRNA from 1 species
GACGAACGCUGGCGGCGUGCUUAACACAUGCAAGUCGAACGGAAAGGCCUUGCGUUUGUAGGGUGCUCGAGUGGCGAACGGGUGCGUAAUACGUGAGUAACCUGUCCUUGACUUCGGGAUAACUUCAGGACACCGGGGCUAAUACCCGUUCGGCGCUCCUGCUGCAUGGUGGUGGGUGGAAAGUUUCGGCGGUUGGGGAUGGACUCGCGGCUUAUCAGCUUGUUGGUGGGGUCGUGGCUUACCAAGGCUUUGACGGGUAGCCGGCCUGAGAGGGUGACCGGCCACAUUGGGACUGAGAUACGGCCCAGACUCCUACGGGAGGCAGCAGUGGGGAAUAUUGCACAAUGGGCGGAAGCCUGAUGCAGCAACGCCGCGUGCGGGAUGACGGCCUUCGGGUUGUAAACCGCUUUCGCCUGUGACGAAGCGUGAGUGACGGUAAUGGGUAAAGAAGCACCGGCUAACUACGUG